GCAUAUCAAUAAGCGGAGGAAAAGAAACCAACCGGGAUUGCCUCAGUAACGGCGAGUGAAGCGGCAAGAGCUCAAAUUUGAAAGCUGGCUCCUUCGGAGUCCGCAUUGUAAUUUGCAGAGGAUGCUUUGGGUGCGGCCCCCGUCUAAGUGCCCUGGAACGGGCCGUCAGAGAGGGUGAGAAUCCCGUCUUGGGCGGGGUGUCCGUGCCCGUGUAAAGCUCCUUCGACGAGUCGAGUUGUUUGGGAAUGCAGCUCUAAAUGGGUGGUAAAUUUCAUCUAAAGCUAAAUACUGGCCGGAGACCGAUAGCGCACAAGUAGAGUGAUCGAAAGAUGAAAAGCACUUUGAAAGGAGAGUUAAACAGCACGUGAAAUUGUUGAAAGGGAAGCGCUUGCGACCAGACUCGCCCGCGGGGUUCAGCCGGCAUUCGUGCCGGUGUACUUCCCCGUGGGCGGGCCAGCGUCGGUUUGGGCGGCCGGUCAAAGGCCCCUGGAAUGUAGUGCCCUCCGGGGCACCUUAUAGCCAGGGGUGCAAUGCGGCCAGCCUGGACCGAGGAACGCGCUUCGGCACGGACGCUGGCAUAAUGGUCGUAAACGACCCGUCUUGAAACACGGACC
rnacentral:rRNA from 1 species